GUGCUUGCUUCAACAACAUAUGUACUAAAAUUGGAAUAAGAGAAAUCAGCGUGGCCACUGCCCAAGGAUGACAAAUUCAUGAAAUGUUAUGUAUUUUU
rnacentral:snRNA from 1 species